rnacentral:rRNA from 1 species
UACGUAGGGAGCAAGCGUUGUUCGGAAUUACUGGGCGUAAAGAGUGUGUAGGCGGUUUUGCAAGUUUGGUGUGAAAUCUCCCGGCUUAACUGGGAGGGUGCGCCGGAAACUGCAAGGCUAGAGUAUUGGAGAGGAUAGCGGAAUUCCUGGUGUAGCGGUGAAAUGCGUAGAUAUCAGGAGGAACACCGGUGGUGUAGACGGCUAUCUGGACAAUUACUGACGCUGAGACACGAAAGCGUGGGGAGCAAACAGG